UCGUUGGUGACCAGCGGAGGGAUCAUUACCGAGUUUACAACUCCCAAACCCAAUGUGAACGUUACCAAUCUGUUGCCUCGGCGGGAUUCUCUGCCCCGGGCGCGUCGCAGCCCCGGAUCCCAUGGCGCCCGCCGGAGGACCAACUCAAACUCUUUUUUCUCUCCGUCGCGGCCUACGUCGCGGCUCUGUUUUAUUUUUGCUCUGAGCCUUUCUCGGCGACCCUAGCGGGCGUCUCGAAAAUGAAUCAAAACUUUCAACAACGGAUCUCUUGGUUCUGGCAUCGAUGAAGAACGCAGCGAAAUGCGAUAAGUAAUGUGAAUUGCAGAAUUCAGUGAAUCAUCGAAUCUUUGAACGCACAUUGCGCCCGCCAGUAUUCUGGCGGGCAUGCCUGUCCGAGCGUCAUUUCAACCCUCGAACCCCUCCGGGGGGUCGGCGUUGGGGAUCGGCCCCUCACCGGGCCGCCCCCGAAAUACAGUGGCGGUCUCGCCGCAGCCUCUCCUGCGCAGUAGUUUGCACACUCGCACCGGGAGCGCGGCGCGGCCACAGCCGUAAAACACCCCAAACUCUGAAAUGUUGACCUCGGAUCAGGUAGGAAUACCCGCUGAACUUAAGCAUAUCAAUAAGCGGAGGAAAAGAAACCAACAGGGAUUGCCCCAGUAACGGCGAGUGAAGCGGCAACAGCUCAAAUUUGAAAUCUGGCCCUUUUGGGUCCGAGUUGUAAUUUGUAGAGGAUGCUUUUGGCAAGGUGCCGCCCGAGUUCCCUGGAACGGGACGCCACAGAGGGUGAGAGCCCCGUCUGGCUGGCCACCGAGCCUCUGUAAAGCUCCUUCGACGAGUCGAGUAGUUUGGGAAUGCUGCUCAAAAUGGGAGGUAUAUGUCUUCUAAAGCUAAAUAUUGGCCAGAGACCGAUAGCGCACAAGUAGAGUGAUCGAAAGAUGAAAAGCACCUUGAAAAGAGGGUUAAAUAGUACGUGAAAUUGUUGAAAGGGAAGCGCUUGUGACCAGACUUGGGCGCGGCGGAUCAUCCGGGGUUCUCCCCGGUGCACUUCGCCGUGUCCAGGCCAGCAUCAGUUCGUCGCGGGGGAAAAAGGCUUCGGGAACGUGGCUCCCCUGGGAGUGUUAUAGCCCGUUGCAUAAUACCCUGCGGUGGACUGAGGACCGCGCAUCUGCAAGGAUGC
rnacentral:rRNA from 1 species